rnacentral:rRNA from 1 species
AUUGAACGCUGGCGGCAGGCCUAACACAUGCAAGUCGAGCGAGCGGCGGACGGGUGAGUAAUGUAUGGGGACUGCCCGAUAGAGGGGGAUAACUACUGGAAACGGUGGCUAAUACCGCAUACUAUCGGAUAACCCAUAUGGGAUUAGCUAGUGGUGGGGGGAAAGGCUCACCUAGGCGGCGAUCUCUAGCUGGUCUGAGAGGAUGAUCAGCCACACUGGGACUGGACAACGGCCCAGACUCCGCCGGGGGCAGCAGUGGGGAAUAUUGCACAAUGGGCGCAAGCCUGAUGCAGCCAUGCCGCGUGUAUGAAGAAGGCCUUAGGGUUGUAAAGUACGUUCAGCGGGGAGGCGUUACCCGCAGAAGAAGCACCGGCUAACUCCGUGCCAGCAGCCGCGGUAAUUC